rnacentral:rRNA from 1 species
UGUGCCGGGGUGCUUAACCAUGCAAGUCGAACGGAGAUUCAGCAAUGGAUCUUAGUGGCAAACGGGUGAGUAACGCGUAGGCAAUCUGCCUUCUAGAUGGGGACAACAUCCCGAAAGGGGUGCUAAUACCGAAUGUUGUAAUUGGUUCGCAUGGACUAGCUACUAAAGGUGGCCUCUGAAUAUGCUACCGCUAGAAGAUGAGCCUGCGUCUGAUUAGCUAGUUGGAGGGGUAACGGCCCACCAAGGCUUCGAUCAGUAGCCGGUCUGAGAGGAUGAACGGCCACACUGGGACUGAGACACGGCCCAGACUCCUACGGGAGGCAGCAGUGGGGAAUCUUCCGCAAUGGACGAAAGUCUGACGGAGCAACGCCGCGUGAGUGAAGAAGGUUUUCGGAUCGUAAAGCUCUUUCGUUAGGGACGAACGUGCUCUUUGUGAAUAAUGAGGAGUAUUGACGGUACCUAAAUAAGAAGCCACGGCUAACUACGUGCCAGCAGCCGCGGUAAUACGUAGGUGGCAAGCGUUGUCCGGAAUUAUUGGGCGUAAAGCGCGCGCAGGCGGGAUAUCAAGUCUGUCUUAAAAGUGCGAGGCUCAACCUCGUGAGGGGACGGAAACUGGUAUUCUUGAGUGUCGGAGAGGAAAGUGGAAUUCCAAGUGUAGCGGUGAAAUGCGUAGAGAUUUGGAAGAACACCAGUGGCGAAGGCGACUUUCUGGACGAUGUCUGACGCUGAGGCGCGAAAGCUAGGGGAGCGAACGGGAUUAGAUACCCCGGUAGUCCUAGCCGUAAACGAUGGGUACUAGGUGUAGGGGUAUCGACCCCUC